rnacentral:rRNA from 1 species
GGACGGAACUGCCGGUCGAUAAACCGGAGGAAGGUCGGGGAUGACGUCAAGUCCUCAUGGCCCUUAUGUCCAGGGCUACACACGUGCUACAAUGGCCGGUACAAAGGGCUGCAAGACCGUGAGGUUGAGCGAAUCCCAGAAAGCCGGUCUCAGUUCGGAUUGGAGUCUGCAACUCGACUCCAUGAAGUUGGAAUCGCUAGUAAUCGCGGAUCAGCAUGCCGCGGUGAAUACGUUCCCGGGCCUU